UCUUAUGGAUGAGCACAGAGAGUGGUCUCUUGAGAUGGAAACUACUCCUGGUGAAGAUGCUGUGAA
rnacentral:pre_miRNA from 1 species